CUACCAUGCAAGUCGAGCGGAUGAAGGGAGCUUGCUCCUGGAUUCAGCGGCGGACGGGUGAGUAAUGCCUAGGAAUCUGCCUGGUAGUGGGGGAUAACGUCCGGAAACGGGCGCUAAUACCGCAUACGUCCUGAGGGAGAAAGUGGGGGAUCUUCGGACCUCACGCUAUCAGAUGAGCCUAGGUCGGAUUAGCUAGUUGGUGGGGUAAAGGCCUACCAAGGCGACGAUCCGUAACUGGUCUGAGAGGAUGAUCAGUCACACUGGAACUGAGACACGGUCCAGACUCCUACGGGAGGCAGCAGUGGGGAAUAUUGGACAAUGGGCGAAAGCCUGAUCCAGCCAUGCCGCGUGUGUGAAGAAGGUCUUCGGAUUGUAAAGCACUUUAAGUUGGGAGGAAGGGCAGUAAGUUAAUACCUUGCUGUUUUGACGUUACCAACAGAAUAAGCACCGGCUAACUUCGUGCCAGCAGCCGCGGUAAUACGAAGGGUGCAAGCGUUAAUCGGAAUUACUGGGCGUAAAGCGCGCGUAGGUGGUUCAGCAAGUUGGAUGUGAAAUCCCCGGGCUCAACCUGGGAACUGCAUCCAAAACUACUGAGCUAGAGUACGGUAGAGGGUGGUGGAAUUUCCUGUGUAGCGGUGAAAUGCGUAGAUAUAGGAAGGAACACCAGUGGCGAAGGCGACCACCUGGACUGAUACUGACACUGAGGUGCGAAAGCGUGGGGAGCAAACAGGAUUAGAUACCCUGGUAGUCCACGCCGUAAACGAUGUCGACUAGCCGUUGGGAUCCUUGAGAUCUUAGUGGCGCAGCUAACGCGAUAAGUCGACCGCCUGGGGAGUACGGCCGCAAGGUUAAAACUCAAAUGAAUUGACGGGGGCCCGCACAAGCGGGGGAGCAUGUGGUUAAUUCGAAGCACGCGAAGACCUUACCUGGCCUUGACUGCUGAGACUUUCCAGAGAGGAUUGGGUGCUUCGGAACUCAAACCAGGGGCUGAUGGUUUCGCAGCUCGGGCCGGGAAGGUGGGUAAGUCCGAACGAGGCACCUUGUCUUAUUCCAGCCCUCGGGGG
rnacentral:rRNA from 1 species